CUCCAGCUUCCACUGCAGGUCCCACAGCAGCUCCAGCUUCCACAGCAGGUCCCACAGCAGCUCCAGCUUCCACUGCAGGUCCCACAGCAGCUCCAGCUUCCACUGCAGGUCCCACAGCAGCUCCAGCUUCCACUGCAGGUCCCACAGCAGCUCCAGCUUCCACUGCAGGUCCCACAGCAGCUCCAGCUUCCACUGCAGGUCCCACAGCAGCUCCAGCUUCCACUGCAGGUCCCACAGCAGCUCCAGCUUCCACUGCAGGUCCCACAGCAG